rnacentral:rRNA from 1 species
UUUAGCCACAUCAUCUUGCCCUCGAUGCCCUAUGAUCCUGUCAGAGCUCAUAAGCUAAGCAGGAUGGAGCCCAGUCUGCUGGAGAUAGCUCAAU